AUUGAACGCUGGCGGCAUGCUUUACACAUGCAAGUCGAACGGCAGCGCGGGGCAACCUGGCGGCGAGUGGCGAACGGGUGAGUAAUAUAUCGGAACGUACCCAGGAGUGGGGGAUAACGUAGCGAAAGUUACGCUAAUACCGCAUACGAUCUACGGAUGAAAGCAGGGGAUCUUCGGACCUUGUGCUCGUGGAGCGGCCGAUAUCUGAUUAGCUAGUUGGUGAGGUAAAGGCUCACCAAGGCGACGAUCAGUAGCUGGUCUGAGAGGACGACCAGCCACACUGGGACUGAGACACGGCCCAGACUCCUACGGAGGCAGCAGUGGGGAAUUUUGGACAAUGGGCGCAAGCCUGAUCCAGCAAUGCCGCGUGAGUGAAGAAGGCCUUCGGGUUGUAAAGCUCUUUUGUCAGGGAAGAAACGGCUGUGGCUAAUAUCCACGGCUAAUGACGGUACCUGAAGAAUAAGCACCGGCUAACUACGUGCCAGCCGCCGCCGUAAAAC
rnacentral:rRNA from 1 species